GUGAAAUCUGCAAGGCGGCUGCUUCUUCAGGCGGAUUGUCCUGCGAUGCCAGGGCUGAAAAUAGUUUAGGAAGCUGCCCCUUUUGUUCCUAGCGAUCCGCCUGCCUCCAGUCCUCCUCGGCUGAACUUCCUUUUCCCACUUUCUCUGGCCCCCUCGGCAGGGAGAGGAAAUCACCAGGAAUUGGCUGUUUGAGUCAACUCCCGCUGGCCCAUUGUCGCAGGCCUGUCCCUCCUUCCUUCCUAUCGACAAGGCCCUGGGAAAAGAGAGAAUGAGCCUGUGUUUGCACACAGACUUGUAGGCCAAGUGGGACCUUGUUUUCGAAAUGCUUCCUUUACUCGACUUCACACACCUUUAGGAAAAUGGCUCUAAGAUCAGAAGGAUAAUCUCUUCAGGGCUUUCCCCUCCCCCUGGUGGUGGGCCUGGCUCCCCUCUCCUCUUGCAAAGGAGGCUUUCCACAGCUGCUACUCCUUCCAAACACACCUUAGGGCUGGAGGCUGAGGAACCAGGAGAAUCUCUUUAGAAGGCAGAUUUGGCUCGAGGGCUGCUGGUUGCAGAUUAUAAAGCAGGGGUUUAUAAUCUUUGGGCCUAGAGGGCCACAUCAGGCCUCUUUAUCUGACCCUAGGCCGCACCCAUCUCUGAUAUUGUUCUGCCUCCUCCUUGAGCAACUUUGCCUAGCUAAAAGGUUUCCUUGAAUUCUGAUCAUGCCUAUUCCUUGCCUGAAUGAAGGAUAGAGAGGAGAAUGUAGAAACUGGCCAACUAGGUAAAGUAAAAAAGUAAUUGUGUUCAUUGCUGCACCCACUUUAGCUACCAUCAUCAAUAGCAUCACAGGGAGAAACAGAGAUGCACUGUAACAUAUGGUUCCUUUCUGACAGUUCUGAAGGAUAUUCUGAGCUCUUCAGCACCAAAGGAAGACGUAGUUCGUGCUUUAUUUUAAAUCAUCUUGUUAGAUCUUUGGGCUGAUCCUGCAAGUCUACAACUGAAAAGUGGCCAGCCAAGGAGCCAAGCCAAGUGCAGCUACAAUCAAUAAAGCCAUCUCCUGUUGCUUCUUGCAAGCAUCAGUGUUAUAGGGUUCCCAAAUGUGGGUUCUCCAGCUGUUUUUGGACUACAGUCCCCAUCAUCCCUGACCACCGGUCCUGCUGGCUAAGCAUGAUGGGAGUUGUAGUCCAAAAAACAGAUGGAUGCUGUUUGGGAAACCCUUAUAGACUGGCUGGCAUGUCAAGCCAUCAUCUCACUGUAGAACAAUGAGAUGAGAAGGGCCAAAGGCCCUUGCUGGCAGAGUCAUUUAAAUAUUUCAGACAAAGUCCAGAGAGAAAAGAAAAUGAUAAUACUGUAUAACCUGAACAAGAACAGUAUAUAACUUCAGGUUUUGUCUGUCUUAAGUCAGGCUAGAUAUACAAUUACAACACAUAGAAGAAAACUAUGUCAAUAUGCAAAUGACAUUCAGCUCUGUUUCUCCUUGCCACCUGGUGAAGUUUGUGUCUGGAGGCAAUAAUGAGAUGGAGGAAGGCCAAAACACUGAAGCUACAUAAAUCCUAGAUAGGUUAGAGAUACUGCAGAUUGGUAGUUCCUGGGCUGAUGAAACAGAGAGAGAGAGAGCUUGUUCUAGAGAGGGUUGCAUGCCCGCUGAAGGACCAGGUACAUAGCCUGAGGGGUUCUCCUAGAUUUUCCUCUGUAGCUAGGGCCCAGGUGGCUGUAAUGGUAUGAAGUGCCUUUUUCCAGCUCUGGCCUUUUCACCAGCUACAGCCACUCCUGGGAAGAGAAUGCCUGGCCAUAAAGAUAGGGGCACAAAUUACCUAUAAGUUGGAUUACUGCAAUUCAUUCCAUGUGGGGUGGCCCUUGAGGACUGCUCAUGGACAUUGCAAAAUGCAGCUGCCAAAGUAUUAAUGGGAAUGUCUGCAGAAAGGCAUAUAACAACAGUUCUCAUCAGGCCCAGUUCAGAGGCUUAGUUCCAACGCUAAAUGGCUAAGGAUCUGGAUAUCUAAAGGAACGCAUCUCUCCAAAUAGUACUUCCUGGGCCUUGAGGCUGCUCGUUCAGCACCAGCUGAAGACUUUGUUCUACAGUCCGGCCUUCUGAAUUGGCUGUGUAUGUGCGUGCUGUGUAAGGAGCGACAUAGCCAAGAUUCUUAAUUGUAUUUCACUUUUAUUGCUUAGUGAAUUUUAAACUGCUGAUACCUUCCCCGAGAUCACUAGUGAUGAGGGGUGGGACAUACAUUCUUUAAAAUGAAAGAAAACAAGCAUUGCUUCUAAAAUGUGACGGUUCCAUUUUUAGUAUUAAUUUCAAGCUCAAGGACGUCAGUUGCUGUGGAGUAGAAAGUUUGCAUGCAGAAGGUCCCAUGUUCAAGCCCUGGCAUCUCCAGGUAAGGUUACAUCCACUUCAAGUUCUCUUACACCACUACAACACCCAUGGCUCCCUCCAAAAGAAUUCUGGGAACUGUAGUUUGUUAAGACCUCACUGAGCUACAGUUCUCAGCAUCCAAAUGAAUGAUCCAUGGGGUGGAUCUGACUUAAGGGGAUCUGGUAGUGGGAAACAGGAAAUACCUUCCUUUGUCCAAGACCCUGGAGACCUGCUAAUUUAGGCUGCUUUCAGAUAUGUGGGUUACUGUGCUACGUUUGCUGGUUACAAUGCUAGCUCUUCUGUCCCAGUUUUUAACAUUCCUUUUAUACUGCAGCACUUUGUUGCAUUAUGGCACUCUGGCUUUUUGAUCAACACACCACCAUGUCACACUAAAUUCUGAACAGCAGGAAAGAACUGUAUCCUGGGAUACUGCCCUAAAUUCUGUCACAUGGAACUACAAUGCAAAACUCCUGAGAUUUGCCAAGUUAAUAGGGUUGCAAAUGGAUUCCACUCGUCCCCCUUGAAAAAAAAUAAAGUGGGAACAAGCACUAAACUUCCACUUAAAUUCCUCUAGAUUUCCAGAUGUGGCUUUUCUGUAGCAUGAAAGUUAACAACAACAAUGACAAAACAACCACCACAACCCAGGUCCAACACUAACACUGAAUAAAAAGCAGGAAGGGACUAAAGCCUGAGAGAACUACAGUGAGGGAAGACUAGAUUACCUUUCUGUCUAUUACUUCCCAACAGGUUCCGCUAGCUUACUGAAAACAGUGUUGCUUUACUCCCAAUAAUGGAAGAUGGGGUUUGUAGUCCAAUCGCACCUGGAGGGUCACAGGUUUCCCCAGCCAAGGAGUAAACCAUACCUUGGCCAGGUAGACAAUGGUCUGUCUUGGAAUAAGGCAGCUUCCAUCUUUCCUCACUCAAAACAACUUGCCAGCUAACAGCAGCAAGACCCUACUGCUUUUGCAAGAACCAAAGCCAGGAUGUUUACAGCCAGUGUGGUGUAGUGGUUUUAGAGUGGUGAACUAGGAGUUGAGAGACCAGGGUUCAAAUCCACAUUUGGCCAUGUGGCUCCCUGGGUGACCAUGAGCCAGUCACUGUCUCUCAGUCUACCCAAAACCUAAGGGGUGUUGUGAGGAUACAAAUGGGGAGGGGGAGAACCUAUGUGUGCCAGCCUUGGACAAAAGCUGAGCUAUAAAUGCAAUAAUUAGCACUAUCUGGCUUUUCCUUGCUAGAUUCUGGCCGUGGGACUCUUAACGCUCAGCUGAAUGGAUCUGCCUGACCUGGGCUGCAGGUUGUUAUUCUCCAUGGCUGUGAGACUCAACUGCUCAGAUUCCUUUAUUGCAAUAAAAUUUAACUAUUCCUGCAAGAGCCUGGCUGGAGUAAUACCAGAAUCAUCAUAGCUGCACAGAUAACCAUGCAUGGCCCCCAGGGCUCUUUAUCUGAAUUCCCACCACCACUAUCAACCUUCCACUGCAGAGAUGAGUUUUGAUAUAACAAGAUGUAUGUGCUCUAGGCUACAGAUGCACAGUGAAGGACAACAAUCUCCAGCGUUGAACAUACACACAGGCAUGGCUGUCUCUAUUCUCUCAUUCAUCCCCCCCUACCCCACCCAUCAACUUCUCUCCCCACCCCUCACCCCAUUUCCCUUUCCUGUGAAAGCCCUAUCUCCCGACCACUGGAAAUCCUGCUUGCUGCUACUCCCACCCUCGACUCUCAAGAUUUCAGCAGGAAUCGCUUGCACACUUGCAAGCUCAUGUCUAUAGCCAUGAGGGCAAGAAACCUGUUUACUUGUUUGUUAUAAAUUGAGUAACAGAUUAGAUGUUUUAGGUGCUGAAAGCUGCACCCAGUAGCAAAUUCAGAACUUAACUAUUGCAGAAUAUGCCCAGCACUGAUAACCAGGGCUGAACUGGAUGUUUUCAGCUAAGUAAUAGAAACUGGGUGAAGAGCAGCAAUAGGGGCUGGUUUCAGGGAAAUUUAAUCACACCCUUAUAAAUAAACCCAUGACAGUUAGUUGCCUGUCAAAAAACAAAAGGAGACUGAAGUCAUAUUCACGCCAUAAAUUUAAAACACAUGCCUCCCCUCUUCUGGAGAAUCCUGGGAAUUGUAGUUUGUUAAGGGGUAGAGAAGUGGUUCUCAAUCCCACCCCCCCAGCCACACUUUCAAAUUAAAAAUUUGCUCGUGUCACACCAAUUUUUGUGUGGAUAAGAAAUACAUUGGAAAGCAACUCCUAGCAAUGCCUGAUUUAUAUUAUAGAACACAACUACUUUCUAAUAUGAUCCUGGGAGGUCCAGAAAGUAUAAAAGAAUGCAGCUACAUAAUAACAUGAACAUGAACCAUUCCCAAAAUAUAACAGAUUGUCUUCCUGCCAUGUUUGCCAUCUUCUCCUGCCACACCAGUGUGCAAGAUUAGGACUUGGGAGACCAGAGUUUAAAUCUCCACUCAGCCAUGAAACUCAGCAAGUGACCUUGGGCAAGCCACAAUCUCUCAGCCUAAUCUACCUGACAGGGUUAUUGUGGGGAUAAAAUAGGGGGGGGGGGGGUUUAGAAGAACUACAUGUACCAACCUGAAUGACUAAAUGGUGGCCACUAUCACUUUCUCUCCUUCCCUCACUCCCAGCACUUCUAAAAUGACACUAUAUAAAAUUGUUCACACGUUACACUGAACACAGGUAUAAGCUGUCACUACAAAUGCACAGGUGUUUGUGUGAGACAGUGUACAUGCGUUGCUCGGCUAUUGCGUAUGCGGACUGUGCGCACAUUGAAGGUAACAUGUGAAUAACUAUACGAGUGUAUUUGUGUACAUGGGUUUGGAUGUUGAACCCUCGCUAAAUGUAACAUGCAAACACCCCAACGUUACAACAUCACAUCGUUCCAAGGGCUUGCAGGGUGCUGGCAAACCCAACUUUACUAAAGAAAGGGCCACUGUUACUGCCACUCACUGAACUCUUCCCCUCAAACCGUGCAAAUAAUCCUUCUCCCCAAAUCAUCUGAAAUGCUCUCCCCUAUUUGCCACGAUUGGAGGAGGCGGCAUUCUUGCUCAGCCUUAUGGCUUGGGGUGGAGGGGUGAGGAAUGAAAAGGCCUUGGGACCAGAGCCCAGCUUUCAGGAGCCAACGUCAAAAAAAUGCUAGGCUCUUGCCCAGAGCACGCACAGAGAUAUUAUCAAAAUUCUUAGGCAUCAGCACCAAACAUUUAAAAGUCUACUGGUAUUUUUCCAGCUUGAGUUGCCGAAGAGGAUCGUUUCAUGCCAAGAAAAGUACCUUGGAAGACUGUUGACUAACAUGGGCUUCAAAGCUCUCUCUCAUCCUAAC
rnacentral:lncRNA from 1 species